GACGAACGCUGGCGGCGUGCUUAACACAUGCAAGUCGAACGAUGAAGCCGGAGCUUGCUCUGGUGAAUUAGUGGCGAACGGGUGAGUAACACGUGAGUAACCUGCCCUUGACUCUGGGAUAACUGCUAGAAAUGGUAGCUAAUACCGGAUACGACCCUCGGCGGCAUCGCCAGGGGGUGGAAAGAAUUUCGGUCAAGGAUGGACUCGCGGCCUAUCAGCUAGUUGGUGAGGUAACGGCUCACCAAGGCGACGACGGGUAGCCGGCCUGAGAGGGUGACCGGCCACACUGGGACUGAGACACGGCCCAGACUCCUACGGGAGGCAGCAGUGGGGAAUAUUGCACAAUGGGCGCAAGCCUGAUGCAGCAACGCCGCGUGAGGGAUGACGGCCUUCGGGUUGUAAACCUCUUUCAGCACCGACGAAGCGCAAGUGACGGUAGGUGCAGAAGAAGGACCGGCCAACUACGUGCCAGCCGCCGCAGUAA
rnacentral:rRNA from 1 species